AUUGAACGCUGGCGGCAGGCCUAACACAUGCAAGUCGAGCGGAUGAAGGGAGCUUGCUCCUGGAUUCAGCGGCGGACGGGUGAGUAAUGCCUAGGAAUCUGCCUGGUAGUGGGGGAUAACGUCCGGAAACGGGCGCUAAUACCGCAUACGUCCUGAGGGAGAAAGUGGGGGAUCUUCGGACCGCACGCUAUCAGAGGAGCCUAGGUCGGAUUAGCUAGUUGGUGGGGUAAAGGCCUACCAAGGCGACGAUCGGUAACUGGUCUGAGAGGAUGAUAAGUCACACUGGAACUUAGACACGGUCCAGACUCCUACGGGAGGCAGCAGUGGGGAAUAUUGGACAAUGGGCGGAAGCCUGAUCCAGCCAUGCCGCGUGUGUGAAGAAGGUCUUCGGAUUGUAAAGCACUUUAAGUUGGGAGGAAGGGCAGUAAGUUAAUACCUUGCUGUUUUGACGUUACCAACAGAAUAAGCACCGGCUAACUUCGUG
rnacentral:rRNA from 1 species